AUCACAAAAUGAACUCAUUUUAAGACAAAUUGUAAGAUAAGUAUGUUUAACUGCAGAUUUGCCUUAAAACAAGAAAAGGAAAAGAGAAGAGAUGCUGACAUGUCAUGUGACAAACUUAGUGAGCAAUUACCAAGAAUGGAAAAGCGGCGCAGUGAAGACACCGCAGUGACACGACGACUCAAAGUGACUCUGAGGACACGAGAUGUGGAACUGAGGGCUGCCAGAGACAAUCUGAAUCGGUUUUUUUGAAGAAGGUCCUGCUCUUAAUUAAGCUUCUAGAAUUCCCCGCCCCCCCAUGGUAUGAGACCAAAAACUCAAUGAAGUGUACCGCCAGCUUGGAGAAGAGCGAAAUGACAUCCAGAGGCAACUUUCUCAAGAACAGAAUGCCAGAGUCUUACAAGAUGGGAUUCUGACCAGGCACCUGUGCAAAAAACAAGAGAGCUAGAAAUGGCUCAAAAGAAAAUGAAUGAUGAGGUUGAUGGUCUUACAACACAACUGGAAGCUACAUCCUCAAAAUGUCUACAUCUGGAUGAAAAGAAUCAAGUUCUUCAACAGGAGUUACUAUCUCUGAAAACAAUACCAAAGAAAUGUGAAGAACUAGAGAAGGAGAAAAAGAAGUUGGAACAAGUAGUAGUGAUCCUCAAAAGCCAUAUGGAAAUGAAUGUGGUAGAACGUGGUCAAAUAGAGCAGUAUAAGAGGGAGAUUGAAGAAAGAGCAAGACAGAAUAUAGUAGAAAAAUUAGAAGAAGUCAAUCUGUUUUUACAGGAACAAGCAGCAUCUCAAGAAUACUUAGAAAUGGUCAUAUGCUUCAAUAAGACAUCACAUGGAACUCAGAAUUAAAAAUCUGGAAUUUGAACUCUUCAAAAUGAAAAAUUCUGGAGAUGAUUCUCAUGAAACAGAAUUGGGAAAAUAUAAGCAACUUAUCUAGAAUAAUGAAAAGCCAGAAAAUCAAUGUCAAAUAAGUUAAGCAACUCUUCUGCUCUUUAAAGUGGGGAUUGUUUUGAAGAAUGUACAGUGAGAAGAUAAAGUCAAAGAAGAAACAUUUCUACAAGUGCUGUACAGUCAUCUUUCUUGUUGGAGCUGUGAUAGGCUUCCUACCUCAGUAAGGAGCCAAAGUAGGUGCACUCAAUGUGCUUCACCCAAAUUCACCCACUGGGUAAGCCUCUCUUCCCAUCAUGAGGAAGGUACAGAGUGUAAUCCUCACAUGGAAACCUGAGGCCAGGAAAAUGAGGGUUCUCUUACCAACCAUAUCUGCCUGGAUUUAUGUGGACCAACUAGUGAUGAGAAGUUGGACAGAAGUAUGCUAGGUGGUAAAGAGAAAUCUGUUUUAUGCUUUUAAUUAUGUCAUGAAUAACACACUGUCUAGAUCUUAAUCCUGUUUGUGACGCCAUUUGUAAAGCUAGGUGACCACUCUAGUUGUUGGGUUCUUUUACCUGCUGGU